CUUUUUCCAGAGCUGAGACACCGCUGGCGCUGCUCAACUCUCAGCCUCUCACUACAUCAUCAAGGAGGCAUUGCAUCCUCCAAUGAUGGUUCAUAGAGGAGCAUUGGGGACCUGAUGUGCAUGCAGAGCGACCAUUGUGUGCGCAUUCACUCUUCCCCAUAGGAAAGCAUUGUAUUUAAUAUUUAGAUAUUUUCUUAACUUGUGAAUGGUAGCAUGCACAGAUGGUUUUGUGGUG